UACGUAGGGAGCGAGCGUUGUUCGGAGUUACUGGGCGUAAAGAGUGCGUAGGCGGUGCUCCAAGUCUGGUGUGAAAGCCCCCGGCUUAACCGGGGAGGGUCGUUGGGGACGGCGGGGCUUGAGGGCGGGAGAGGUCGGUGGAAUUCCCGGUGUAGUGGUGAAAUGCGUAGAGAUCGGGAGGAACACCUGUGGCGAAGGCGGCCGACUGGGCCGACCCUGACGCUGAGGCGCGAAGGCGUGGGGAGCGAACGGG
rnacentral:rRNA from 1 species